GGAAGUAAAAGUUAACAAGGUUUCCGUAGGUGAACCUGCGGAAGGAUCAUUCAUAAUAAGUGUUUUAUGGCACUUUUUUAAAUCCAUAUCCACCUUGUGUGCAAUGUCAGGGUUGAUUUUUCUCUCGAGAGGAUCAACCCCAAACAUCAACUAUAUCUCAACUCUUUGUCUGAAAAAUAUUAUGAAUAAAACAAUUCAAAAUACAACUUUCAACAACGGAUCUCUUGGCUCUC
rnacentral:misc_RNA from 1 species